GACAGAGGGGGCGAGCGUUGUCCGGAAUUAUUGGGCGUAAAGGGUACGUAGGCGGCUGGUCAAGUCUGGGGUCAAAGGCCACAGCUCAACUGUGGAAAGGCCCUGGAAACUGACCGGCUAGAGUGAGGUAGGGGUUGCGGGAAUUCCCGGUGUAGCGGUGAAAUGCGUAGAGAUCGGGAAGAACACCUGAGGCGGAAGCGCGCAACUGGGCCUCAACUGACGCUGAGGUACGAAAGCUAGGGGAGCGAAUGGG
rnacentral:rRNA from 1 species